rnacentral:rRNA from 1 species
CAGUAGCCGCGGUAAUACGAAGGGGGCUAGCGUUGUUCGGAUUUACUGGGCGUAAAGGGUGCGUAGGCGGACUGAUAAGUCAGGGGUGAAAUCCCAAGGCUCAACCUUGGAACUGCCUUUGAUACUGUUAGUCUUGAGUUCGAGAGAGGUGAGUGGAACUGCGAGUGUAGAGGUGAAAUUCGUAGAUAUUCGCAAGAACACCAGUGGCGAAGGCGGCUCACUGGCUCGAAACUGACGCUGAGGCACGAAAGCGUGGGGAGCAAACAGGAUUAGAGACCCCCGUAGUCCCUGUCUCUUAUAC